AAUGCAUAUAUAUAGCUAUCCCAUAAAUUCACUUUUGAAAUUACUUUGAAAAAUAAUUUAUUUUGAUAGCCUAAAAGGCCCUAAAAGCCAUUUUUAUUAGCAAAUCUAUUUUUAAAUAUUUUAUUUUGAGGAAAUUCUUGUUCCAGAAGUUAGAUCAUAUGAAAAUAUGAUUUUACAAAUUUUGUUGCAAUUUAUUUGGAGUGAUUUGGAACUUUGAAUCCAUUUUGAGGUUCAAAAACAGAAAAGAGAAAAAAGAAAAGAAAAACCGAAGCCGAACCAGACCGGACCGGCCGAACCGGACCGGACGGACCGGCCCAGCCCGAGCCGCCCGGACGCUCCCACUGCCCGGCGGGCCCCGCCAUCGUCCCCUACCUCCACUGCCUCCGGAGUCCACGCAGAGCACAUCCGCGAAACCGCCCCGCAACCCACCUCCGUUAUCUCCGCGCACGACCCGUCUCCGCCAAAUCCAAGCGCGUC
rnacentral:lncRNA from 1 species